rnacentral:rRNA from 1 species
GAUGAACGCUGGCGGCGUGCUUAACACAUGCAAGUCGAACGGGAAACCUUUUAUUGAAGCUUCGGCAGAUUUAGCUGGUUUCUAGUGGCGGACGGGUGAGUAACGCGUGGGUAACCUGCCUUAUACAGGGGGAUAACAACCAGAAAUGGUUGCUAAUACCGCAUAAGCGCACAGGACCGCAUGGUCUGGUGUGAAAAACUCCGGUGGUAUAAGAUGGACCCGCGUUGGAUUAGCUAGUUGGCAGGGUAACGGCCUACCAAGGCGACGAUCCAUAGCCGGCCUGAGAGGGUGAACGGCCACAUUGGGACUGAGACACGGCCCAGACUCCUACGGGAGGCAGCAGUGGGGAAUAUUGCACAAUGGGGGAAACCCUGAUGCAGCGACGCCGCGUGAAGGAAGAAGUAUCUCGGUAUGUAAACUUCUAUCAGCAGGGAAGAUAGUGACG